GGGGAAACCAUGAGUCCUGCUUUUGAGAAACUGACGCUGAGGCAGAGAAUGUGAAUUCUGUGCAAAACCAUGAUUACCUGAGGCUGGCAUGGAUUUUAACCACUGUGGCUCCCAUGAUUUCCAAGCAUUCUUCCACAGCAAAUGACCAGAUAACGUUAAUGUGACCUCUAAUUUAUAAGCAAGGACUCCGAGACUUAGCUGUCUUCAGGCGCAGAAAAUAUUGACAUCCUAUUUUCGAAGAGAUUGUUUCUUGGCCAACUAAUGCAGCAUGCUAAUUUUUUAGGAAAUUGAUCUCCACUACAGCAAAACCACCCCAGGAAGAGCUCCUCAUUGGUGAAGAUGAAUGGUAGGAAAAGCUCAAAGUACCCUAGGCCAGGGACAUUGUUAACAUCUGCGUCAGGGGUCACUACUCAGUGUUUGUUUCCAAGAACAAGCAGUGCCUCCCAAACUGUAAUGUGCAUAUGAAUCACCCGGGGAUCCUGUUACAAUGCAGUCUGCUGCAGUAGGUCUGAGGUCUGGCCAGACAUUCCACAUUUCUAACAAGCUCCCACGUGGUGCUGAUGCCGCAGGUCAGAGGACUUCACUGUGAGUAGCAAGGCAGCGCUGGACUAACUUGGUUGAACUCAUGAGUGAUUAUAACAAGGUAGGUGUUUAGGAGGCAGAGCCCAAGGAGGAACAGACAAGACUUCUGUGCCAAGGCUUAGCAGAUGCUGGUAACCUCAGGUGCAAUACAAACCCGGCUGGGGAGAGUUGAGUAGCUCAGGACCUGUCAGUGUCUCAGGAGCCAUAUGCCAGAUGCACAUCUGCCAAGACUUCUUGCUUUUCCUAAGAAGACAUGGUUCUAGUUAUUUGGUCCCUUUUAUCAAGAAACUGGCAAUGGUGCUUUCUCCCAUCAACAGAAGUCAUUUGGAUUAAGGAUUACAAGAGGUGCCAAGAGAUAAUUUAAAAGAGUUAUUUGCAUUAUAUGUUUUUUUUUUACAAUUGUAAAAGACUCACAUGUUUUGGAAACUUUUUGUACAUUGUUUUGCAAACUUUUAUGCAUCUGGAAUUAUUUCAAAGUGAAAAGUUUUUUUUAAGUCUCUAAAAAGACUAAAUCUCUUUUAAAUCUCUAAAAAGACCAAAAUUCUGGAGUUUUCUACCUUUCCACAUCUCUUGAAAAUUUAUAUAUUUUUUCCUCCCCAUUGGGAAUAUUUUCCUGACAUUUGCACUAAAUGUUUGUUGCUUACUCUCAUGCUAGUAAGUACUACCCAGCCUGUUCCCUCUAAGUUCUGAAGGCAGCUCCAACACUUGAUUACUGGAAUAUGAAAUCUAUCCUAUUUUGAAAAAAAGGCAGAUCAGAAACAUCCUUCCCUCACUGCUCUAGAUACCAUUUUUUUCUACCUGAACUCCCAAAGCAUAUAUAGGUUAUACUACACUACUUAAUAAUUAUAUUGUCUUUCAUUUUUAUCCUCUUUUCUAGUAAAGAUUAUUGUGUUAAUUUUAAAAAUGGAGUUUACAUAUUGUUUCUUCUGUGUUUGGUACGGUCUCCAGCACAAGGCUGGGCAUGGAGUAGAAAUAAAACUGAUAUUUGUCAGGGAAGGGACUGACUUACUUACCCAGGAAACUAGGCCUGGGUAGUCUUUCUUCAAAGUCAGUAUCUUCAUAACAAUGAAUAAGUAAUCCACAGAUACCACUUCAGAAAACAGGCUUAAUCCAGUGUUCUCCUAGAUAAGCAAAUCAGUCUAAGCAGAAAAAUCUAUCCUAAAUUUGUGUAAAUGUCUUAGAGUUACUUAGAUUCCUAUGACAUGCAGGUCCAAUCACAAGCUCUGGGUUCACAUUCCAUUGGCUCUAAUCAGGGUCCACCAUGAGUUAACGUGGUCAUAUGACUGAGCCUCAGAGUCCCCACCUGGUAAAUGGGGAUGACGAGAGUGGAGUGCCCACCUCAAAACUUCAUUGUAGAUUAAAUGAAGCAGUCCCUGCAAAGCACCUAGCAAGGAUGUUGGAACAUACCAAGUGCUCAGUAAACGUUAGGGCUGAGUAUUCUUCCUUAGGUGAAAUGAAGAAGAAUGGAUAUGAUAACUAGAAAAUCAUCUACAUUAAAAGGUGGAGUUCAAUAAGCUAUACUUUCAGUACAGCAGGGAUAAAGGAGAUGAGGAAGCAAAAAGUAAGUUAUGUCUUCACAUCUAAUUUUUCCCAGGAUUGAAGAAACUUAAGAGAUUUCCCUGAAAUGCCACUAAAUUGCUGCAUACCACAUUAAUUUUGCUCAAAUGCUAAAUACUUUAUAAUUUCCAUAAUGAAGAAAGAAAGGGAGGAAAGGGAAGGAGGAGGGAAGAGGGAGAGAGAGAAGAAGAAAGGAGGGGAGAG